rnacentral:rRNA from 1 species
UACGAAGGGGGCUAGCGUUGUUCGGAAUUACUGGGCGUAAAGCGCACGUAGGCGGAUCAUUUAGUCAGGGGUGAAAUCCCGGGGCUCAACCUCGGAACUGCCUUUGAUACUGAUGGUCUCGAGUCCGGAAGAGGUGAGUGGAAUUCCUAGUGUAGAGGUGAAAUUCGUAGAUAUUAGGAAGAACACCAGUGGCGAAGGCGGCUCACUGGUCCGGUACUGACGCUGAGGUGCGAAAGCGUGGGG